rnacentral:rRNA from 1 species
GAUGAACGCUGACAGAAUGCUUAACACAUCAGCCAUUGAUUGGUGGCGGACGGGUGAGUAACGCGUAAAGAACUUGCCUCACAGCUAGGGCCAACAUGUGGAAACGAAUGCUAAUACCUAAUACUGUGAGAGAGCUUUGCGUCCCAUUAGCUAGUUGGAGAGGUCACGGCCCACCAAGGCGAGGAUGGGUAGCCGGCCUGAGAGGGUGAUCGGCCACAAGGCGACUGGGGAACGGCCCUUACGACUACGGGAGGCAGCGGUGGAGAAUAUUGGACAAAGGACCAGAGGCUGAGCAAGCAAUUCUGUGUGAAAGAUGAAGUUUUCGGAAAGAAAAGUGCUUUCAGUUAGGAAGCGGUACCAACAGAAGAAGUGACGGCUAAAUACGUGCCAGCAGCCGCGGUAAUUC